AAUUGUAUGUGGCAUGUAUGUGUCUUGGCGUGGUGCCUCUGAAUUGUCUUUUUAAUUAACUUAAGUGAUUAGUUAGGAAUUUUACCGUAUCCGACCUCAAACCUAAUAAUCCUUAUCUUCUUCUUCUUUUUUCCUUUCUGUUUUCUCAUUUUCUGUCCUUGCUCUCCUGGACUAGUACACAUUGCAGUGAACUGUCGGCCCAUUGAGCUGCUCUUUUAUUUUGUGCAUGUCAUCUUUUCCACUGGAUUCCACCACAGUGCAUAUUGUUGCAUUCUGCAUUUUGUAUGAAUUUUUUUGUUGUGUAUAUUUUCUGAUGCUACUUUACAUUUCUAUACACUGGCCUAUUUACUCCACAUGUGAUUAAUCAUUCUGCUUUUUUCCAUUCAAACUCCUACUCGUGUUUUUUUACUGGUUCACCUACUUUAACCCUUUAACCUGGCACCUGCCCUCCCUUUCAUCUCUCUCUCACAGUCUCUCGCUCUUCCUCUCUCUCUUCCCCUCUUCCUCUCUCUCUCUCUGGCUGCACAUGGUAUGGUCUUGCAUGUCUGAGCAGUAGACGGCGAGACAGCAGCCUCAUGUGCUAUUCCGAAUGAUCCAUUCAACAAAGCCUGAGCUAGCAGCACUAAAAUCUCUUCUCUCUGCAGCUUUUGUUUCUGUCUAUGUUUUUUUGGUCCUCAGAUCUUUCUCUCUCUCUCUCUUUCCAUUUUGUCUGGCCACAUCCUCUCCUCCUCUGUAGUGUAGGCUGGUCGGCGCAGACAUGCAGAGGGGACUACAGCAGCCUUGCCGCCGCCGCGGUCAGCCGGACUUUCGUGAUCCCCAGAGGAUGAAUCGUAAUGACUUUGGUGAACCCCUGACCGUUUCCUCUGAGGCCACCAGCAGGUAACACUUUUCACUUAUCAGGUGAAUUCAAAUCCCCACCUGUCAGACGAACUGGCAAUAGAUCUGCUACAGAUGUUCACCGUUCCCAGAUGAUGUAUUCUUUUGCUGUUGAUAAUUUAUCACCAUAUGGAAUUUGGUGCAAACGUUCAUGUCCCUUAUUUGCCUGUAACACCAUCAUCAAGUCAGCAUCUGGAUUCCUCCUGUACUUUGGUUUAUGACCAAAUAUCAAAAGCUGCACCUUGUGAUACAUACACAUACAUAAUUAGAAAAUGUUAGAAUGCUAACAUGCUAAAGUCAGACGACGGACAUUAUAUCUGCAAAACAGUGUGAGCAUGUUAGCAUUUAGCUAAGGAAAUACCGCUCACCUCGCUUUAUUUUGUAUUUUCAAUUUCUGUAUUGUUUUUUUCAUGUAUAUUAUUGCAUGUUUGUUAAAAGUAGUGUACUGUAGUCCCUUCAUGUGGCAUUCCACCAAUACAGGUAUUUAUUAUGUAUAGACUUUCUAUUAAUUCUAUCAAUGAUCUUUUUUUUAUUCUCCUUAUUUUAUAUCUAUUUGAAUAAAAUGAGAACUGCAAGUUCAAAGGACGACAUCACAUUUGCAAAUACAAUAAGUGCUUCAUAAUCAAAUUGAUCAGCAGUGAGUUGCUUCUCAUACCUUUGCUAUGACUGUUAGCGAGCUGCGUUAUUGUCACACCGAAGUCGGGCAAAGGGGAACGAGUGUGUAGCGAAUAAUCUUCACAGCAGCGCAGUGGACAUGGAUAGAUUGCAUGACAUGGUGCAGUUUGCACAUGGAAUGUCGAAGGAUUUCAGGCGCUCGGUGAUGAAGGCCAGAUGUUUGAGUUAUGCAUAGGAAGUCAAUUGUCUCCAGUUGCUACCGGGUAUGAUAGUGAUGCAGCCAGGCACCAGCACUGGUAUCUGCUGUGUAAUCAGAUUUAAGAAGGCCCUCGCACGUAUGAUGGCAUGUGUAUGACCAGAAGAUGUGCUCAGUUUGAAAAGAAAAAAAAGACACAUGAACAGAAGUGCAUGAAUAAAAAAGAGAAACUGUAUAUGACUGAGUAAGUAAGAGAUAAAAGUUUGCAUAGCAACUUAUAUUAAUAUAAAGCAAUGCUGACUAAACUUUUAGAGAGUCAGUGUUGUUGAUCACAAUGAUUUGUCAAAUCUGAAAUAAAAAAUCAUAACAUUGCCUCUGGGCAACAACGA